CUUUAUAAAUUAUAAAGUGAUAAAAACAAAUUCUAUUGCAUACGUCAGAGGGGAAAAACAUGGUUAAAAUUGUGAAGUUUGUUUAUGUUAUAAUUAUCUUUAUUUCCCUAUUUUUUAUUGCAAAGAACGUUGAAGGUCGUGUUAAAUGUAUAAAAGACUAUGGUUGCCAAAACAAGUCAUGUCAGUUUCCUUUGAAACCAUACAUUAGAACAGGUCGUGUUACAUGUAAAAAUGACUCUGGUUGCGAACUCAAGUUGUGUAAGCUUCCUUUGUUUCCAAAGUGUGUGAAACCUUAUUUUUUAUUCUUUUCCACAAAAGAAGGCUUUUGUGCAUGUAAUUGAGCAAUUGUGCCCAUAAAAUUCUGCUACAAAAUUCCAUAGCUAUCAUUUAGUUAUUGCGUUAGCACCCAAUAAUUUAAAUUUUUUUCCUUUUAAUAAUUUCAUAGACCUUGCAAUUACGGGUUUGUACUCUAAGAUGAUCAUAAUCAAAUAAAAUAAGUCAAAAAAUAAAAUUAUUUAAA